rnacentral:rRNA from 1 species
GAUGAACGCUGGCGGCGUGCCUAAUACAUGCAAGUCGAGCGAACGGACGAGAAGCUUGCUUCUCUGAUGUUAGCGGCGGACGGGUGAGUAACACGUGGAUAACCUACCUAUAAGACUGGGAUAACUUCGGGAAACCGGAGCUAAUACCGGAUAAUAGUUUGAACCGCAUGGUUCAAAAGUGAAAGACGGUCUUGCUGUCACUGAUAGAUGGAUCCGCGCUGCAUUAGCUAGUUGGUAAGGUAGCGGCUUACCAAGGCCACGAUGCAUAGCCGACCUGAGAGGGUGAGCGGCCACACUGGAACUGAGACACGGUCCAGGCUCCGACGGGAGGCAGCAGUAGGGAAUCGUCCGCAAUGGGCGAAAGCCUGACGGAGCAACGCCGCGUGAGUGAUGAAGGUCUUCGGAUCGUAAAUCUCUGUUAUUAGGGAAGAACAGAUGUGUAAGUAGCUGUGCACAUCUUGACGGUACCUAAUCAGAAAGCCACGGCUAACUACGUG